UCGCUCCUACCGAUUUCGAGUGAUCCUGUGAACCUUUUGGACCGCAUAGUUCCUCGUGUUCUGUGUGGGAAAUCAAGUAAACAGUAUCACUUAGAGGAAGGAG
rnacentral:rRNA from 1 species